GGAGAGAUGUCCGAGCUGGCUUAUGGUGGCGGUCUCGAAAACCGUUGCACAGUUCAUGCUGUGCCGGGGGUUCAAAUCCCCCUCUCUCCGCCA
rnacentral:tRNA from 1 species